CAGCCGCCACGGUAAUACGUAGGGUGUGAGCGUUAAUCGGAAUUACUGGGCGCAAAGCGUGCGCAGGCGGUUAUAUAAGACAGAUGUGAAAUCCCCGGGCUCAACCUGGGACCUGCAUUUGUGACUGUAUAGCUAGAGUACGGUAGAGGGGGAUGGAAUUCCGCGUGUAGCAGUGAAAUGCGUAGAUAUGCGGAGGAACACCGAUGGCGAAGGCAAUCCCCUGGACCUGUACUGACGCUCAUGCACGAAAGCGUGGGGAGCAAACAGGAUUAGAUACCCCUGUAGUCCCUGUCUCUUAUAC
rnacentral:rRNA from 1 species